AUUGGUGUCUGUGAUGACUGAUCUUUUUUCCCCAGCAGAUCGACCCUGUUGACUGCCUGACUUUUUAAGCCAAACUUGUCUGACACACCAGC